UUUUUUUGUUUUUUCAAGGUGUAUCCUUUACUUAUGUACUCAAGGAGAACGUCUGAGCUUCCCCAUCUUACUUUUUCAGGGCUGGGCAAAGAAGGUGGAGCUGGUCAAGUGUCCGGCUCCACUGCCCGAAGAACCAGCAAUUCCACUUCUGACGAAGAUGCUGGUUCCGGCGCCCUACCAGGCACCGGAGAAGAAAGCCAAGGGGACCAGAGGUGGCCUCCGCCACAAGGGCACUUCAUACGUGACGUCCGAAGAUGCCGAGACCCAUCCCCCCCCCCCACCACCACCGAUGACAAGGAGGAGGAGGAGGAGGAGGAAGAAAGCAACUCCCCCCUGAGGGGGGAAGGAAGAAAAGGGCGGCCUCCACGCAUCUUGAGGCCGAAGCGUCCAAGACGGGGAAAGCCUCCCUUGCGGACGACACCGCGUCGGAUACCAAUAGCAGCUCUAAGUGGCGCCCCAGGGAUAAGCCCCUGGCCGAAUUGUAAGUACCCGAAAGCACUGACACACUCAUAUGUCCAACUCCUUUACCUCAUAGUUUUAACAUGUAAAUCAUGCACUGUUGUCUGGCCCAUGACAGCCCCCAGCGGUCCUCAUCCUCGGGGGGUUCGUUGGAUCCGAAGGCAAUGGACGGCGGGUCCCUUCUGACGUCCACCUCUCCCAAAGCCACGGACGACGCCGAGGUGUUGUCCCGAAGGAACUGCCUUGGUCAGGGAGAGGUUCAGGUGGCCAUCAGGGUGGCGCCAGAGGGUAGUACCUCAGCCGCCGGACACAUGGGGGAGCAAAUCCCCCUGGAGAUUGGCGAUGGGGGCCGUAUCUAGUUCGGCCCCCAGCCGGACACUAUUCCGGAGGCACAUAUGGCUCCGGAAUCGAGCAAACAGCCUCCUUCGAAAGAGGGAGGUGCACCUAUCCCGACGGUGACCUCUGUCCAUCCAGAGUCACCGGAUACUCUAGUCGAAGCGCUGAGAAGUGCUUCCAUUGUUGAAGAACACCGUACUCUUAUGGGUACGGUGGUUGAGAGGGUUCGGUCCGUUAAGAGCGGACUGACCGAAGCCUGCACCAGCCUUUUGACCGGCUUUGAGGUAAGCGACGCAAUUAUGUAAAAAGAAUGUCACAGUAUAGACAGUAGCCCCUGAGACUCUGUCCGGUGUUCGGAAAGAAAGCCGGACUGAGGGUCAAAUGAUUUCCAUAGGAGACUAACCAUACAUGUCUAUGGGAAUGAACAGGCAUCACUGCUGGCUGCGGCCUCUCAUGCUGUCGAAGCCUCCGGACUGAAGCAGAGGCUGGAGCGGGCCGAGGAGAGCUCGGCCAAGCAAGGAAGCAGCUGGAGGAUAAGCAAGGUAUGUAAUGACCUGUUGUAUAUUUAGAAAGGGUAAAUGAUUUGCGUUGACCAAAGUGCCAUGACAUUUGUUAGGAGCGGCGGCCGAGGUAGAGACCCUCAAGAAGGCGCUGGCCGAGGCUGAGGAGAGAGCUGCCAAGGAACAAGCCGCCCGCAAAAAGCACGAGGCCAGGGUCGGCGAGGUCCAGCAAGAGCUCCAGAACGCCGUGAAGAAAUGCGAGUCCUUGGAGCGCAAUAUUGCGGAUUAAGAGACCGAACUCGCCAAGGCUCGCCAAAGCGCACAAGAUGCUCGGGUUGAAGCCCAGGGCGCUCUCCAGGAGAUUCAAGAGGCCAAGAAGAUUGCGGCGGGUAAGGCCUUCAUUAUGUAGAGCAAAUAUGUGAAGAAGAGGUAUCUCUUACUAACCCGGUUGGAGUUCUCCAGGAGCGUUUGCGGAGUUGCCGCGCAGUGUUGCCGAUGCUACAGAGUUCUUCCGAGCCGAAGAGGGGAGCUCGACGGAGAAGCUAUUCUGGUCACAAUACCUUGCACCAGAACAUCUGGUGCCCUUUAGCGACCAGCUAAAACAGAUGGUCGAACUACAUAGGGUGGCCGAACUAGCCAUGAAGGAUUUGAUAAUCCUGCUGUGGCCUGCCGAAGCUAUACCCAGCAGCUACUUCGGGCUCGUGAAGCGGCUGGUCAAUGCCUGCCCCCGGCUUGACAUCAUCAAGCGGUCGGUCUGCAUCGUGGGUGUGCGGAUGGCCUUCGCCCGCGUCAAGGUGCAGUGGGCGAAAAUGAACGCCAUCAAGCUCGCGACCGAGGGGCCGCCCACUGGCAAGGAGCACCGCACGCCCGAGCGGUAUUUUGAAGAUGUCCUAGAGGGAUCCCGCAUUGUAGCAGAGCAAUGUUCUAAGGAUGUUAUUUUUGAAUGAAAUACUUUCAUGUUAUCCUGUCCUGUAUGGUGAAACAAAGCUAUAAUGCUUGUUAUUAUUAAAAUUUUACCUCCUGUGCGGCCGUUUUUAUUAAAACUAAGAGUUGGCCAGUCGUCGGCUUCAGCCCCCACGUAGGUAGUACAGGGGUGUUCGGGAUGAAUCUAGACACUCUUGAUCCAAGUUUUUGGUCCUUGAAGGAGGUGUUUAGCGCAACGAACCAGGCAAUCGGACUAUGUGGCUUUAUCACCCACACUUAGCCAUAGGAGUUUGACAAUAAAAUUGUAGGCGCAGCCCCUAGUUAUCAUUUAAUCCGGACUAGAGUGUUGUGAACACCUGAUCGGAUGAAGGUCGAUUCAUCGCAUAAUGCGGAAAAAAUCAAAAAAGAUUUUUAACCUCCGAAUAGUUGACCAGCUCUCGCCGCAUCAUGACAGUCAGUUUUCAGCUUUCUCUACUGAGGUGCUCAUCCGGAUACCAGGACACAAUCGCAGUAGUUCUCCCUUUACUACCCUAGCCGAUAUAGCGGAACGUAAGGUAGUAAGCACAGGAGCCGGGCAACCCAACUAUUGACCAAAGACAUGAUUCGGAGCCGAUGCAUAUAAUGCUAAAAUUUGGGGUGCCGAACUGUACUGUAAAAAGUGUUCGGACUUUGUUGUCGUAGUAUGGGGCGCAAUGAAGCCCCUGGCCAAUUUAAGACGUACCAAGGUGUACGGGUGCAAGAGAAAUAGCGAAAAAAUGAAGUAGCUACGUAAUUUGGGUUGCAAACAGUUCUUGCUAUAAUUUGAUGAAUAUGUCAAAGCGUAUUUGUACAAAUAGUGCGAUAAGCAACCUGACUAUUUAACAUGCCGAGACCAAGGGAGAGCUGUGUGCGGGUCCUGAAAAUAGGUAGGACGAUCGUCGAAGAGAGCGUCUAGAGAUUCCCCCACACGUCUGUGCUACUUGCCGCCUUGGUGUAUCCGUCCUUCGAGAGGACAGCUGAGCAGGCCACCGCGAGGGGCCUACGGAGAAGGAACCUAGAAAGGAUAAAAAAGAAAAAGUGAAAGUAUGUGUGUCCGGAGAAGGUCGAAGCCAUAUUGUGGACCACAGUCUGGUUAUGCCUCCGUCUCUGUCCAUGGUAUUUUCAGUGCGUAGUUAUGUACGCGUGGUACGUAUGCCGCCAUUUUGUCAGGACUGAGAUGGAGGCCGAAUUGCUAGUCUGACUCCUGAAGAGCCGGACUUUCAAGCUGCGGAGUAGUCCGAACUCGUUUGACAGUGUCCUGGAGCUUGGCCACUGGAUUAAAAUUCUGCCUUAAAAGGCCGCUCUGUACUUCCGUUGCCAGGGCCGCGGUGUGUUCUUCAGUACGGAGGGGGCGCUCCGUGUUUCCAUUGAUUGUUAUGACCCCGCGUGGUCCGGGCAUCUUGAGCUUGAGAUAAGCAUAGUGUGGAACUGCAUUAAAUCAAGCGAAUGCGGUUCGUCCGAGCAGUGCGUGAUAGCCACUGCGGAAGGGGACGAUAUCGAAGAUCAACUCUUCGCUUCUAAAGUUGUCCGGGGACCCGAAGACAACUUCCAGUGUGAUUGAGCCCGUACAACGGGCCUCUACACCUGGUAUGACUCCUUUAAAGGUAGUUUUGGUGAGCUUGAUUCUUGAUGGAUCGAUGCCCAUUUUGCACACUGUAUCCUGAUAGAGCAGGUUGAGACUGCUGCCACCGUCAAUGAGGACUCGCGUCAGGUGGAAUCCAUCAAUUAUUGGGUCGAGGACCAGUGCGGCUGAACCGCCAUGACGGAUACUGGUCGGAUGAUCCCUGCGAUCGAAGGUGAUCGGGCAUGACGACCAUGGACUAAAUGUUGAGGUGACUGGCUCUAUCGCAUAGACGUCCCUGAGCACGCGCUUGCGCUCCCUCUUGGGGAUAUGGGUAGCGUAUAUCAUGUUCACUGUUUUGACCUGAGGGGGAAACUUCUUCUGUCCCCCUAUAUUCGGUGGACGGGGCUCCUCGUCAUCGUCUUCGCUUUGCGACCCCUUCUCCUUGUUCUCGGCAUUUAUCUUGCCGACCUGUUUAAAAACCCAGCAACUCCUGUUGGUGUGAUUGCUGGUUUAUCGGGGGUGCCGUGUAUCUGGCAUGGACGAUCGAGUAUGCGGUCCAAGCUGGAUGAGCCCGAAUUGUUCCUUUUGAACGGCUUCUUCCGCUAGCCGGACUUGGAGCCACUGAAUCCGUCAUUGACCGCCGUGUCAUCGGUAUUAUCGCCGUUGCUUCGACGCUUGUGUCUGUUGCGUCGGGGCUUGCCGUUGCUAUUUCUGGCUUCCGAAGUGCCAGGUUCGCUUGCGUUGUUAUUGCUACGGGCUAGCCAACUAUCUUCGCCCGCGCAAAAGCGGGUCAUAAGCGCCAUGAGGGCUCCCAUGGACUUCGGCUUUUCUUGGCCGAGGUGUCGGGCGAGCCAUUCGUCCCGGAUGCUGUGUUUAAAGACCGCUAGGGCUUCGGCAUCCGGACAGUCGACGAUCUGGUUCUUUUUGGUUAAGAACCUAGUCCAGAAUUUCCUGGCUGACUCUCCGGGCUGUUGAAUUAUGUGACUUAAGUCGUCGGCAUCUGGAGGUCGAACAUAUGUACCUUGGAAGUUGUCAAGGAAGGCUUCUUCCAAGUCCUCCCAGCUGCCAAUGGAGUUUUCGGGCAGACUGUUCAACCAGUGCCGAGCUGGUCCUUUGAGUUUUAGUGGGAGGUACUUGAUGGCAUGGAGAUCAUCACCGCGGGCCAUAUGAAUAUGGAGAAGAAAAUCCUCGAUCCAUACCGCGGGGUCUGUUGUCCCAUCAUAUGAUUCAAUGUUUACGGGUUUAAACCCUUCUGGGAAUUCGUGCUCCAUUACCUCAUCCGUGAAGCAAAGGGGGUGUGCGGUGCCUCCAUAUCGGGCCACGUCGCGACGUAGCUCGGAUGGAGUUCGUCUGCGGUUCUCGGCCCGGACGUGAUUAUGAUUGUUGCGUCCGGCUAGAUAGCCAUUGUCGUGUGUUGGGGCACGCCCCCGCGAUUCAUAGAUCGAUAUGUUCUGACCUGCUCUACUUUCCAGAUCCUGCCGCAGGUCAUAUGUAUGUCCCCGAGCUGUUUUAUCUUUGCCUUUAUGGUGAGGUGGUACGGGCUGGUGUUCGGCUUGAGUUGCCGCUUUGUCCCAGCCACGUGGUGGUCAGUCAGCCGCAUUGCGCGAUGACGGUACGGGCUCCAGCGCCUCGUCAUCGAACUGAGGUAGCAAUUUGCGCUUCGGAUAACUUUUGGCUGGGCGCUUGAGGCCGUAUUCCUUGGCUGCCAGGACAUUAGUCCAUCUAUCGUUGAGUAGAUUUUGGUCAGCUUGAAGCUGCUGCUGCUUCUUUUUCAGGCUCCUUGCAGUGGCUAUUAGCUGGCGCUUGAAGCGCUCCUACUCGAGAGGUUCCUUAGGCACGAUAAAAUCCUCGUUGCCAAGGCUCGCCUCAUCCUCGGAGAGCGGAAGAUAAUUACUAUCCUCCGAGUCUUCGUUUAUGGCCUGUUUAUCAGGGCUAACCUGCCUGUCUUCCCGUUCGUCCUGUUCGGAAGUUGGCUCAACGGGGUCUUCAUUGUCUUCGCAUCGUCCAGAGUAUUGUUUUCUCCUGUGUAGGUAUUGCUGUCUUUUCCACGGCGUCACUUGGAGCGGCGCCGCUGACGUCGGUGCUUUGGCUGUGAAAGAUCGUGGAUGUCGCCUAGAGGGGGGUGAAUAGGCGCUUUAAAAUAAUUAUGGUUUAGGCUUGAACAAAUGCGGAAUAAACCUAGCGGUUAAUUUGUCAAGCACAAAACCUACAACAACUAGGCUCACCUAUGUGCACCAACAACUUAUGCUGCAAGAUAAGUAACUAUGUGAUAGCAAGAUAUAUGACAAAGAACAAUAUGGCUAUCACAAAGUAAAGUGCAUAAGUAAAGGGCUCGGGUAAGAGAUAACCGAGGCACGCGGAGACGACGAUGUAUCCCGAAGUUCACACCCUUGCGGAUGCUAAUCUCCGUUUGGAGCGGUGUGGAGGCACAAAGCUCCCCAAGAAGCCACUAGGGCCACCGUAAUCUCCUCACGCCCUCGCACAAUGCAAGAUGCCGUGAAUCCACUAAGGGACCCUUGAGGGCGGUCACCGAACCCAUAACAAAUGGCAACCCUUGGGGGCGGUCACCGAACCCAUACACUUUGGCAACCCUUGGGGGCGGUCACCAGCACCCGUCAAAUUGCUCAGGGCGAUCUCCACAACCUAAUUGGAGACCCCGACGCUUGCCCGGAGCUUUACACCACAAUGAUUGAGCUCCGAACAACACCAAUCGUCUAGGGCGCCAAGGCACCCAAGAGGAACAAGCUCUAGGGUACCCUAACACCCAAGAGUAAUAAGCUUCUCAAACUUCACUUCCACGUAUCACCGUGGAGAACUCAAACCGAUGCACCAAAUGCAAUGGCAAGGGCACACGGAGUGCCCAAGUCCUUCUCUCUCAAAUCCCACCAAAGCAACUAAUGCUAGGGAGGAAAGUGAGAGGAACAACAAGAAGGAGAACACCAAGAACUCCAAGAUCUAGAUCCAAGGGGUUCCCCUCACAUAGAGGAGAAAGUGAUUGGUGGAAGUGUGGAUCUAGAUCUCCUCUCUCUUUUCCCUCAAAAACUAGCAAGAACCCAUGGAGGGAUUGAGAGUUAGCAAGCUCAAAGAAGGUCAACAAUGGGGGCAAAAACGAGCUUAAAGGAUAGGGAACCAUUGGGGAAGAAGACCCCCUUAAAUAGGUCCCCACGAAUCUGCCCGUUAUGUGCAGAAUAACAUAGGAGCAGUACAACAGCUAUGAGCACCGGUACAACCGGUAACAGGCAAUAAGCGGUACAACCGGCCCACAACCGCACCACAAUAGAAAUUAGUCCGGUGGUAGAGUGGUACAUGGCUGGUACAACCUUCGGACCAAUUCUGGAGCAGUACAACCGCUCCAAACACCGGUUGUACCGGUACAACCUCUCUAUGGGGCGGUACAACCUCUCUAUGAAAAACUGGCAAUAUCAAAACAGCCACAACUUUCGCAUACGAGCUCCGAAUUCGACGAAAUCAAGUUUGUUGGAAAGCUAAGGACAAGAGCAAACACAAUCUUGAUAGAAAUGUCAAGAAAUGGCAAUUGAGAAAAUACCCAAAGUAAAAUGGUGAGAACCCUUUCUCAAUUAAGACCGAUAAAAACUCCAACACCGAAAACACAAAAGAAGAUGCAUAUGAAAUCGGUUUUCGAUGAACUCGAGCUUGUCAAGAAGAUGAUCAUGAGAUCCAAAUCUCACAAGGAGAAGAACCAAACAAGAACCAAGAGAGAUGAUGCAAGGAUCCAAUGGUUUGAGCUCUUGACGAACGAUACGAUCAAGCUACUCACUAGAGAGCCCCCCUUGAUAGUACGGCAAUCGAUCCUACAACCCGGUCUCCCAACUACCACUAUGAGACCGGUAAAAUAGAAAACCUAUCAAGGGAAAACCUUUUCCUUGCACAUAGUCCACUUGAGCUAGAUGAUGACGAUCUUGACUUCCUCAAGUUGGACCACCUUUCUUGAUUGUGUUGGCUCGAUGAAGACUAGUUGAUUGCUCCCCCAUACUCCACUAUGGGUGAGAAACUCUUCGGCACAUCUUCACAAUUCCAUUGACACCACAAUGGACGGAAAGCUUCAAGCUUGAUUGCUCCCCCAUAAUACAUUAUGGGUGAGCCACUCUUUGUGUUGCGCCACUUGAACUUACACACUGCAAACUUGAUGACGAUCACCACUUGAUGUCAUCCUCCAUAGGUUGUAUGAGAUCUUCCUCUUGAUGCAAUACCAUGGAAACAUACCUAACCCCACAAAGAACUCUCACGUAGACCAUGGGUUAGUACACAAAGCGUAAUGGACAAUGCAUACCAUACCAUGGGAUCACUUGGUCCCUCUUGGUACAACUUGUGCUAUUUGUGUGUUGAUCAACUUGAAUCACUCUCUAUACUUAGUCUUGAUCAACCUUGAAUCUUUCCAACUCUCUUCAUUAGGAUGAUGUCUUGAAGGUAAACUUGAAUGUUCACAAUCUUCUUCUUCAAGACAUGCUUGCGAUAAGCUCAACUCUCACAUGACCAAUCUUUGGAUAAUUCCUUGAAAAGCACUUUGGCCAUCUCAUAAACUCCUUGAAACCAACACAUGGACUUCAAGACAAUCCUAUGGACAAAUCCUUCAAAUAUAACUCAAGGCAACCGUUAGUCCAUAGAGAUUGUCAUCAAUUACCAAAACCACACAUGGGGGCACCGCAUGUCCUUUCAGGCUGUAUCUCAGGAGGUUUAUCCUCGACCGGGUCUUCCUUGUCGUCGCCUCUAUUCUCUUUGGGUGUAUCCACCAUGUACACGUCAUACGAGGAAGUGGCCGCCCAACGUUCGGUAAACGGCGGGUUUUGGGCCUCCUCUUCUCCGGCAUCGUCGUCCAUACCGUCGAUGUCUUCGGAGCCGUAAUCGAGCAUGUCGGUUAAGUCCUCGACAGUGGCUAUGAAGUGGCAAGCAAAAUUCCCUAUCAUCAACCCCUAGUUCGAACCAGAUAUAAUUCGGCUGUGAGCCCCCUGCUAAGGAGAGGGUUUUUAAUGAGUUCAGCACAUCGCCUAAAGGUGAGUGCCGGAAGAUGACCGUGGCGCUGAAUUUGAUGACCGGGGCCUGAUCGGGCUCGACGGGCGCGGACACGCGUGAUUCAGAACCUAUGGCCGGAGACGAAUUCGAGGUUCCGGUGACAUAGGUCAUCCUUGAGGUUGGGUCUAUGCGCGGCUCCAGCGCCGCUGAGUUUGCGGCUCCUGUGGCGGGGUUGAGCUUCCCGUCCUCGGAUGGCGCAAUUUGCUCCGGAUCUAGGGCCGGAGCACUUACAGGUGCUAUCCCCUGGGUAUGGUCCGAUGAAAGAUUUAGGUCAUGCUCAUCGCGGUGGCAGGGAGCGGCUGCCGUGGGCUCGAAUCCGUCGAAGAUCAAGUCUCCGCGGGUAUCGGCAAUGUAGUUCAAGCUUCCAAACCUGACUUGAUGGCCAGGGGCUUAGCUGUCGAUCUGCUCUAGAUGGCCAAGCGAGUUGGCCCGCAGUGCGAAGCCGCCGAAUACAAAGAUCUGGCUGGGGAGAAAAACUUCCCCGGAUAGCAUUGUUGUAGAUGAUUGACGGGGCCGUCGAACCUCUCGAAGACGACGCAGCAGAACUCUCAAUGGAAGCACCAAUGUCGGUGUCAAAACCGGCGGAUCUCGGGUAGGGGGUCCCGAACUGUGCGUCUAAGGUCGAUGGUAACAGGAGACAGGGGACAUGAUGUUUACCCAGGUUUGGGCCCUCUCUAUGGAGAUAAUACCCUACUUCCUGCUUGAUUGAUCUUGAUGAAUAUGAGUAUUACAAGAGUUGAUCUACCACAAGAUCGUAAUGGCUAAAACCCUAGAAGUCUAGCCUGUAUGAUUAUGAUUGUGAUUCUCCCUAUGGACUAAACCCUCCGGUUUAUAUAGACACCGGAGGGGACUAGGGUUGUACAAGGUCGGUUACAGAGAAAGGAAUCUUCAUGUCCAAAUGCCAAGCUUGCCUUCCACGCCAAGGAGAGUCCUAUCCGGACACGGGUGAGAGUCUUCGGUCAUGUAUCUUCACAGCCCAUCAGUCCGGCCCAUGUCCAACAGGCCAGACGCCCGAGGACCCCUUAAUCCAGGACUCCCUCACAUGUGAGUGUCCCUUGGUUGAUGCAUGAAGAGACAAAUUUGUUGCACCGCGUAUGAUAUGUCCGGACGGGUGAGUGCUAGGUAUUGCAAGGCGCCAGCAAGACUGCGAUAGGUGGUUGGGUUGGAAAGGAGAUGACCAUCUGUGGCCGAAAUUUUGGCAUUAGUGUCGAUUGGUGUGGAAACGGAUUUGUAGUUGAGCGUGUUGGCGCGGUCUAAAACCUCUAAGGUGUACUGUUGUUGGCUCAAGAACAAUCCGGAGGUGUUGGGAGUGACAUUAAUCCGAGGAAGUGAUGUAAUUCACCUAGGUCGGACAUGGAAAAUUCUGCUUUGAGAGAAUGGAUGAUGGAAUGCAGAACGUGAGGUGUACUUGUCGUAAGAAUGAUGUCAUCUACGUACAUAAGGAGGUAUGCAAUGGAGGACCCGUGCGACAUAAUGAAGAGUGAUGAGUCCCUUUUGGAUGCAUGAAAACCAAGAGAUAGAAGAAAUGACUUGAAGCGAUGAAACCACGUACGGGGGGCUUGUUUCAAGCCAUAGAGAACUUACGAAGGAGACAAACAUGAUCCGGGUGAGAGGGGUCGAUGAAGCCGGAUGGUUGGGCACAAUAUACAGUCUCCUUGAGCUCUCCAUGAAGAAAUGUGUUCUUGACAUCGAGUUGAUGGAUAGGCCAAGAACAGGAGGUGGCAAUGCUGAGUACCACACGGAUCGUGGCCGGUUUCACCACCGGACUAAAUGUCUCAUCAUAGUCCACGCCUUCCUUUUGAGUGAACCCGCGAACAACCCACCGAGCUUUGUACCGCGCCAAGGAGCCAUCAGGGUUGAACUUGUGGUGAUAUAUCCACUUGCUAGUGACCACAUUAACACCUGCAGGUUUGGGAACCAAAGACCAAGUCGAAUUCUUGAUUAAAGCAUUAAAUUCAUCUUGCAUUGCAUGUAGCCAAUGUGGGUCUUUGAGGGAUGAGCGAUAUGUGGCUGGGAUGGGUGAGAUGGUGGACUCCGUGUGGGUAGUGAGAAAGAGGCGCUUGGGCUGGCAAAAACCAGAUUUGGCAUGUGUGCGCAUUUUAUGCGUUAACAGGAGGUGGGAUCGAGAUGGCACGGGGAGGACGAUGUGGCGGAGUCUGCUAGGCUGAAGCGGAUUCGCUGGGGCCGGAAGUGGGCACGGGAUCCGGAGGAGAUUCGGUCAGAGGAGCAGCGUACGAGGUGGAGGCGCGAUCCGAGGCAGAUCGGCUGGCAGCGCUGCCGGCCCCGCGGGAGAACUGGUGUGAGGUUGCGCUGCGGUCCCACGGGUGGGGACGGCCCGGGAGACGAGGAGGACUCGGUUGGGCUGGCGGAGCGCGUGGGGGUGGAACGCGUGGAGCGGGGGUGGCUGACCGGUGUGCGGGGCGACGCGACUGGCGGAUCGCUGGUGGGUGCGGGUGCGCACGGGUGGGGUGACCCAGCCGGUGCGUUGGGAUCGGGAAGUGUCAACUGCAGCGGGAUACGGUGGUUGGGAUGGCGAAGUGCGGGCUGGGCGACGGUGUGGGAGGCACGUAUGGAAAAAUUGACUCAUCAAAAACAACGUGGCGAGAGACUAUGACGCGGCAUGAAUCUAAGUCGUUGCAUUGGUAGCCUUUGUGCUCAAGUGGGUACCCCAAGAAGACACACGUAUUGAGGAGAUUUGGAAAGCAAAGGCAACCAAAGACCCGAAGGUGAUCGUAGGUGGGAUGAACGCCGUGGAGACGAUAGUAAGGCGUAUGGCCAUGAAUGGCAUGUGAUGGUCGACGAUUUAGGAGGUAUGUUGCCGUGUGGAGAGCCUCAACCCAAAACGGUGGAUUAAGAUUGGCUUGAAAAAUGAGUGUACGCACAACGUCAUUGGUGGUGCAGAUGAGGUGUUCGGCCUUGCCAUUUUGAGGUGAGGUGUGGGGACACGAAAAAUAGUAGGAGACGCCGUGCGUGGAGAAGGAGCGGAGGGUGGAGUUGAUGAACUCACCGCCAUUAUCACAUUGGGUGGCCUUGAUGACAACGUUGUAUUGGGUUCGAACAUGAGCAAAGAAACGUUGUAGAGUGGAGGACAGUCCGAUUUGCGCCGUAACGAAAAUGAGCAAGAGAAGUGAGAAUAAUCAUCGAGGACAACCAAGUAAUAUUCAUAGCCGGAGAAACUCACGACCGGAGAGGUCCACAAAUCACAAUGAAUGAGCUCAAAUGGCGCAUAAGUGCGGCUAGUAGAGGAGGAGAAAGGUAGUCUAGGUUGGUGCCCUAAUUGGCAAGCAGUACAAGGGCCAUUGUAUGACUUGUUACAUUGGAAGGGAAAAGCACUAGUAAUGGAGUUGAAAGAUUGAUUGCUUGGGUGGCCUAGGCGACGAUGCCACACAUCACCGUCGGAGGUGGUAGCGGAGAGGGCAGUACACCGCGUCGUGUUAUUGCCGAAGAACGGGUAGAGGUUGCCGGAGCUAGCGGAGAUUAGGAUUACCCUCCGUGUUCGAAGAUCCUUCACAAGAAAACCAAAUGGGUAAAAUUCGAUGGAACAAAAAUUAUCUUUGGUAAAUUGGCGGACGGAGAUGAGGCUAGUGGUGACGGAGGGGGAGAAAAGAAUGUUGCGUAGAUGGAAAUUAUGGGGAGGGAGAGAGGUGGAGCCGGUGGCAUGAAUGGGAAGAUGAUGGCCAUUGCCUACUACAAUGCUAGAGAAUUUACGUUGUAAAGAAGAAAUCGAAUGGUUGAGGUUACUAGGGUUGCCGGUGACGUGGUUGGAGGCGCCACUGUCGAGGUACCACUCGUUGGAGGGGGCGGUGUUGUUGAAGCCCUGGUUGCUAUAGGCGGCGUGAAGAAGGGCCAUGUGAUCCCAUGACGGCUGCUGGUAUGGAGAGGGCGGGGCGUACGACGAGUACUGCAUCGGGUACGCUUGAGCAUCAGGUCCCGGACGGGGACCGAGGACACCAGCGGCGUUUGGAGGCACCCAGCCAGGGCGCGGUGGAGGGAUGGCCAUGCCGUAUGGAGCGAAGAACCCCAUGUAUGGGUUGUACGGCGCGGAGGACGAGCCACCACGACCUUGUUGUCCGCCGCGUCCACGGCCAUGUCCACGGCCGCGCCUGCAUCCUCAGUCGCCACCGCGAUCACCACUGUCGCCGCGGGGGUUGGAGUCGCGCCCAGGGGCACGAUCGUUGCUGUGGUCCUGAAGCCGAUCCGCCCGAUCGCCCGGGCGGGGAGUGGAGCAACCGCCGCUGCUGGAUCCGGAGGCACCGGAGGGUCCACCGAGCCCAUGGACGGCGAGGACCGUGGCCGGGGCCUCGGUGGUGCGUUGAGCGAGGUUUUCCUCGGCGAGCUUCAGGCGCGAGAACACGGUCUCAAACGGGGCAAGGGAACCGUGUCCCCCAGCACGACCCGGAUGGUGUCGAGACGGCCGUCGAUGCCGUGGAGGAACUGUGUGGUGAGAUCCACCUCGAAGACCGCAUGGUCGAUGUCAGCGAGACCGGCGGUGAGCAGCUUCAUGCGGCGCGCAUAUUCGUCGACAGAGAGAUCGCCCUGUUUGAGGUUGUGGUAUUGACGAUUGAGCAUCAUACAAUGUACAGGUACAUGUUAACAGUAAUACCGUACUUUAGUUCACAUUACUCCGGCGUGCUGAAUUUAAGUACCAACACAAACAAAUUUAGCUUACACAGUUCCGCUUUGUAGCAAAUGAAUAUGUUCAUGAAACAUAACUGCUUCUAGCAACAACAACAACAAAACAGAUGGCUGUUUGGAUAACAUGAUAGGCAUGCCGUCACUAUUCGGUCCUGUUCUUUAUAGCAAGAUGCAAAGAGAGAAGUGCCUUCGGCGGUUCGGCCCAAAGACAUGUAGUUCAGCAACGGUGCAGAUAAAAAUCUGACCUAUUAACUAUCCAGUGCCGUGUUCCUUUGCCAUCUCUGCAAAAAUCAGUCUGCCGCGUAGAAUCUGAAAAAAAGGGACAAAAUCAGUUAAGAAACUUAAAGUCCAAGCAGACGGUGCUGCAAACACGCCAAAUCAGGUAAUAUUAAAGCCGAUACCGGUUAGCAUCAUGCUCGAACAUUGAAAUUUGCACACAGUUGUCAUUACAACAAAUGGUUUUCACUGCUCAAAUCCAAAUAGUUUGGAGUGAGAUGAUGGUAAUGUCAAGAUAAAAGCAUCACCUAAUGAAAAAUGACAAGAUCCCAGAUGGCUGGCAAUUUGGCAAAUGUAAAGACAAGAAUCUGAACACUGAACAGAGCAAUUCCUGACUAUUCUGAUGCUAUUUCAAGAAACUGUGUUCCUCACAAUUGCAUCGAAAAGAUAAAUAGCUAAUUUGCGGCACUUCCUGACUUGGUAAUGCACAAAAAGGCCUAAAAUGCAUUUUAGUAGCAAAUGGUAGAAACCAGUCUACGACACUAGUUAAAAAACACCUUUGAUUAUGACGUUCGUGGUCUGUUCACAUAGUAAGUUUGCAAACUCAUGUUGUGGUUAUACAUGGGGUGUAAUUGCUACAACUAAGGCUCUAGAGAUGACCACUUCUCUCUUUGGAGAAUUCUCCAGGUAAAUGCCUUGUCUAAUGCAGUUCUUAGUUUAAGAGCCUGUGAAUAGAAAGCGGUAAAAUGUAGCGACAAAACAGCUGAGGGAAAUUGCGCCACUUAAUAUGUGAAAUAGUAGAUGAAAAGACAAAAAACCAUGAAUCACAAAACAAGUUAGUUUAACCAAAUCUACCAGAAAAGGCGUUCUCACUAGUCAACAGAGAAAAACCAACGCAUGCUUCAUGUGAAUAAACUAGAAAAUGCUUUAGAUAAAGAGCCAACUCUGUUACAACAAGAAUCUUUAUUAACCUUAAAUUAUGUUGAAAACAUUGUUAACAAGAGUAAACACAGAAACAUGGCUUCUACCAGUCGACCUGACUGGUGGACCAACGUGGCCCAAAUGCUCUAUGUACACUUCUUGUCAUCACUGGAAGAUGGUAAAGGAAGGCUGACAUAAGACCACUGUACAUAUUUAGUGAAUUUAGAAUUAAUGUAGGUACCUCUUAACACAUUGCAGGUCUAAUUAUUUUGUUACAGAAGUCAAUACCCUUAAGCAGUAUUCAGAAGAAUGACCCUAUGGUUUUCUUGCGUACACCAGCAUUGUCAGUUUUGGCGACAAAUGACUAAACAUGAGAGAUUAGGGUUUUUCUUUUACAAAUGACCUCAAAGGUCCUGGUUAUUUGAUAAAAGCAAUGUCACCAAGAGUUGUGGUUUAUCACAUUAUCCCUAAGAUGUGUUUCUGUGCACUUUACUCUAUUAACAAGGUGUCUACACAAGGUAGUUUCAGUUGAGGAAGGAAGGAGUAUCAGCGGCAAAGAGUUAUGGCUCCAUUUUUUUCUCCAGUGGAACUUCAGCACAGUUUCCUCUAGAGUAAAUGGCAAUCAUGAAUUCUCAGUUUAUAAAAUUAUCAAUGUGUCAGCACCAGCAAAUGAUGUUUGAAGGUUACACCCAAGAUAGUAGGUAAGCAGUGUGCAUACCCUUCCAUCCAUUGCCUUGAUAGCUUUCUGUGCCUCCUCUUGUGAUGAAUAUCUUACAAAACCAAAUCCCUUCAGCCUUCCAGUUUGGUUGUCUCUCACUAACCGAACUAUAUUUGAUAGAAACAGAUAGCAGCAUUAAACCAAAAUAUUUCUAUGGAACUAACAUAAUAAGAAAGUAUCAGUAGGAAACAAUGACAAAGAUUUACAAUUCCAUGUGGCAAACAGCGUCACACUAGUUCAAAAAUGGCAUAGAUACCUUCCUCAAUGGCGCCAAAUGGUGAGAAGACCUUUUUAAAUUCUUCCUCCGUUGUGUAAAAUGAUAACCCUGACAAAAGAAUCUAGAUGGAUGAAUAAAUGUUACAUGUUAUAUCUGCAUUUGCAGAUUUAAAAGGCAGCAUGAGUUAAAUUCUUGGCGCAUAAUUCCCUGUGAGCAGAAUAUGUAGAGAUUCAUUUCAUAAAUGGUACUCCCUCUGUACCAAAAUAUACGACUUUUUUGACACUAUGACAGCGUCAAAAAACGUCUUAUAUUUUGGUACAGAGGGAGUCGAACAUAUAUGGUGAUCUUACGAAUUAAAAUGAAGAGGCAAACUGCAACACUAUCACUAUCUUUGUUGUGUAUGUGUACUUCAGGUCCGUGUCAACAAUGUGCACCCCUCAACCACAACAAUUUGCAGCAAGACAAACUAGAGAUGAAAACAAAUUGUUCACCAGACAUUUCAUCCAAGAUGAUAAAGUGCCACCCAAGUAGAAUAGAUACUAAAUUUCAGGUGGUAAAACGGCAACCAGUCUACUUUUGGCAUAAGCGACUUGUGGCUACAAAUUGUACUGCCCAUACAGCAACAAUUAGUUUUCAUCAACACACAUAAUCAGUCGGCAUGUGUGAAACUUCAUCAGCACUAGAACAGGAAAAGAUAACGUUAGGCAAACCCAUCCAGCCCGUGAUAAAGUUCUCAAAAGAUGGUAGUAUGAAGCAUCCGUGGUGUUGCUAUGUAACUGUCCAGAGGAAUCAUAUUAUAAAGCUCCUAUCAGUAGCAGGCUCGAAACAUUCCCUGGCGUUCAUGUUCAUAAUGAAAAAGAAAGCAAAGGAGACCGGCACCACACCAACCAGUGCUCAAUCCAUCCACACCCAAACAACUUCAGCCACAGGCGAACAACACUCUCGAGCAUGAGCCAGAGGUAUCAGACAAUAAUCGUCACCAUAAUCACACAGCACCAAUUCAUCGCAUACAAGGAGUACCAAGCAUUUUAUUCAAGCACGGGAAUGGGGUGAAAACAGAGGAUGAUUGCUUACUGCUCACAAAUAUCUCGGUGCUGAAGCCAUGGGAACCCAAGUGACGAGAGGCCAAACGCAUCACCCUCCCUCGCAACAUCAUCGGCAGUGGCGGCGGCGUCGACGGCGGCUCGAGCACCCACUCCCUCAAACCCUAGAUCCCCAAUUAUUUUGGCAGAAUGACGCAACAGCUAGCAGAUUGAGAAGUCACAAACAACCUCUCCCAUUAAAUGAAAUCAAAGCCGUCCAUCACAACCUGACACGAUUUACAAAGCAGGCGCGCUACCUACCUAGAACGAUACACAUGGACACGACCGACGGCAACACAGAAGCUAGAGGAGAACACGGCGACGGAACCCUAGAGAUACACCUUCCCUCCCUAGUUGCUGGUGAACUUGGUGACGGCCUUGGUGCCCUCGGAGACGGCGUGCUUGGCGAGCUCGCCGGGGAGGACGAGGCGGACGGAGGUCUGGAUCUCCCUGGACGUGAUGGUGGGCUUCUUGUUGUACCUGGCCAGCUUGGCCGCCUCGCCGGCGAGCUUCUCGAAGAUGUCGUUGAUGAAGGAGUUCAUGAUGGACAUGGCCUUGGAGGAGAUGCCGAUGUCCGGGUGCACCUGCUUGAGCACCUUGAAGAUGUAGAUCUUGUAGGUCUCCACGCUCUUCUUGUUCUUCU
rnacentral:lncRNA from 1 species